GGAUUAGGCAUGCAAGUCGCACGAGAAAGGUUUCUUCGGAAGCCGAGUACAGUGGCGAACGGGUGAGUAAUGCAUAGACAACUCGCCCUUGAGAUGGGGACAACGCCUCGAAAGGGGUGCUAAUACCCAAUGCCGCCUUGGGCCUGCGGGUCCAGGGUGAAAGGAGGCCUCUGAUUCAAGCUUCCGCUCAAGGAGAGGUUUAUGUCCUAUUAGCUAGUUGGCGGGGUAACGGCCCACCAAGGCUGCGAUGGGUAGCCGACCUGAGAGGGUGACCGGCCACAUUGGGACUGAGACACUGCCCAGACUCCUACGGGAGGCUGCAGUCGAGAAUCUUCCGCAAUGCGCGCAAGCGUGACGGAGCGACGCCGCGUGGGUGAUGAAGGCCUUCGGGUUGUAAAACCCUGUCAGCUACUACGAAACACGGGCGAUGAACAAUCGUCCCGUCUGACUUAAGUAGCAGAGGAAGCACCGGCUAACUACGUGCCAGCAGCCGCGGUAAUACGUAGGGUGCAAACGUUGUUCGGAAUCACUGGGCAUAAAGGGCGCGUAGGCGGUCUGAUAAGUCAGGUGUGAAAUCCCUCGGCCUAACCGAGGAACUGCAUUUGAUACUGUCGGGCUAGAGUACAGGAGGGGAGAGUGGAAUUCCUGGUGGAGCGGUGAAAUGCGUAGAUAUCAGGAGGAACGCCGGCGGCGAAAGCGACUCUCUGGCCUGUUACUGACGCUGAGGCGCGAAAGCUAGGGGAGCAAACGGGAUUAGAUACCCCGGUAGUCCUAGCCCUAAACGAUGGGCACUAAGUAGAGGGGUUUU
rnacentral:rRNA from 1 species